rnacentral:lncRNA from 1 species
CAGUGCUCUCAGCACUACUCUGUCUUCCAAGCUCCUGCCUAGAUGGCCCAGCUCAACAGCAUUCACUUUCCUAAUCCAUGUUCCUCCAAAAGGCAGUGUGGUCAGGCCUGCCGCAGCACCAACUUCUGUCGUAAUUAUUUUUCUGUUGCUGUGAAGAGACACCAUGACCAAGACAAUGUACACAAGAAAAGGUAUAUCAGGGGUUCAUGUACCACAGAGAACUCCCAUCUCAUUCACACGUGAGGCAGACAGCACUAUGACAUGGCAUGGGCUCUUGAAACUUCAAAGCUACCCCUAGUGACACAGCUCUUCUAACAAGGGUACACAUCCCAAUCCUUCCAAACAGUUAUACCAACUGGGGGGCCAGAUACUCAAACAUAGGAGCCCGUGGAGGCCAUUCUCAUUCCAACCACCACAAACAUAUACGUUAAAAAAAAAAAAAAAA